rfam:Oryza sativa Japonica Group DNA, chromosome 8, cultivar: Nipponbare, complete sequence.
AAAAAAAACAAACCCUGGUUUCUAUGUCCAAUGUUUGACUAUUCGUCUUAUAUUAAAUUUUUUUAUAAUUAGUAUUUUCAUUAUUAUUAGAUGAUAAAACAUGAUUAAUACUUUAUACGUGACUUAUCUUUUUAAUUUUUUCAAAUAAGACGAAUGGUCAAACAUGACACGGAAACCAAGGGUUUAUCUUUUU